ACUCCAGUCCAUUGUUACUAUGACAACAGUAUUACAAUGCCUUCCAAUUACCAAUGUAUGAUUUCAGUUGUGGAUUCCUCCACCCCCACUAGCUCAUAGAGAAGGCAGCCUUAUUCUCAGGUCUCUUUCAAAAGGGGAAGUCCAAACUACAGAGCAAGAAAUGUUCCUUUGAGAAAGACCCCAUGAAGAAACAGUAUGAGAAGAGAAGCAUAUUAGGUGUUUGAGCCACUGUGCAUGCACAGGAUUUAAAACCAUUUGCUACUUAAAGCAGGGUUCCACA